AACGAACGCUGGCGGCAUGCCUAACACAUGCAAGUCGAACGAGAUCUUCGGGUCUAGUGGCGCACGGGUGCGUAACGCGUGGGAAUCUGCCCUUUGGUUCGGAAUAACAGUUGGAAACGACUGCUAAUACCGGAUGAUGACGAAAGUCCAAAGAUUUAUCGCCAGAGGAUGAGCCCGCGUAGGAUUAGCUAGUUGGUGUGGUAAAGGCGCACCAAGGCGACGAUCCUUGGCUGGUCUGAGAGGAUGAUCAGCCACACUGGGACUGAGACACGGCCCAGACUCCUACGGGAGGCAGCAGUGGGGAAUAUUGGACAAUGGGCGAAAGCCUGAUCCAGCGAUGCCGCGUGAGUGAUGAAGGCCUUAGGGUUGUAAAGCUCUUUUACCCGGGAUGAUAAUGACAGUACCGGGAGAAUAAGCUCCGGCUAACUCCGUGCCAGCAGCCGCCUGUAA
rnacentral:rRNA from 1 species